AUGCUUUUCUGGCUGAGCAGUGCUCUGCCAUCAUCCUGCAUUUAUCCUCAGGAUGGUAGAGAGAAGUGGAACAGACCACCCAGCCCCUUAACUGUCUGGAGGAAUCUGCAUCCUGAGGUCCCCAGGCCAGUGCUCUUUCUACAAUACACACCAUCCGGAAAAGGGUGUUCCUCUCCGGGCCCCUGCCCCGCACCCUCACUGCAUCCUCCUGGACUGAGAAAAACUCUGGAGGUAGAAGUUGGCAGUUUAGCUCGCCUUGGAAGGACCCAGAAAACUGAAGUGUCACUGGAGUUCUCAUUGGCUGAGCAUCCAGGACCAGGUGGGAGAAAGCGUCGACUCUGGGGGAGGUAAGAAGAGAUGAGGCAUCACUUCCAUUUGCAUUGAGAACACAUGCAAGGUUGGCUUGAGCACCACCCCUGAGUAGAAGCUGGUGUCUACUGUCUUAGGCCACAACGGCUCAUUCCAGACCCCCAGUUUCAACCAUUUACCAGACUUCCCCAUCCCAAACAGUGAAGUGAGAUCAACUUCUGAUAUUGCCCUCUGGGAAACACACAUGUGUUUCAACAGCCUUUCUGUAGAACUUCUUUGGUGGCCGCAAAGCUUUUGCAUGCACAUUGGAGGGAGCAUGGAGUGGCUUUAGUUUCUUGUUGGUUCCAGCUGAGAAAGAACCCCUGAGCUGGAAACUGGGGUCAGUGGAGUUCAAAAGCAAACUCCUGGUAUCCUCGCACUUUUCGGAUUCCUGGCCACUCACCCAAAUGAACCUCACUCAGAGAAUUUGAAAAUGCCCUGAGGAAAUAGUUAUCCGUGAAAUCAUUUUGUGUGGAGGAUCAGGAAGAGUGAAUGUCUUGGCACCAUGUCACAAGUUUCCCUUUUGUGCAUGUGUGACAAACGCGGAGCACUUUUAUCCAUGCUAGGCUCCAUAACAAGCUUGUGACAUGCAUUGUAUCUUUCAGUCUCAACUUGUCUCUCUGAAGGCGGUUCUGUUAUUUCCCCAUCAUAGAGAAGUUUAACUCUGGAAGGUCUUUUUGCUCCUAUGUGGAAGAGUUGGAUCUUAAAACUCAAGUUUAUUUUCUUCUAAGCCUGAGCUCUUCCUACUACCACCCCCGUCUAGUCUGAGAAUCCAUGGUGCUGUAUCUCCUUUUUUUUUUUUUUUGUCUUUUUGCUAUUUCUUGGGCCAUUCCCGUGACAUAUGGAAGUUCCCAGGCUACGGGUCCAAUCGGAGCUGUAGCCACCAGCCUACGCCAGAGCCACAGCAACUCGGGAUCCGAGCCGCCAUCUGCAACCUACACCACAGCUCACGGCAACGCCGGAUUGUUAACCCACUGAGCAAGGGCAGGGACCGAAUCCUCAACCUCAUGGUUCCUAGUCGGAUUCGUUAACCACUGCGCCACGACGGGAACUCCUGUAUCUCCUUUUUAACAAACUGGCACUUUGUUGAAUUAUAUGCACUACUGCGUAUAUGUACAUAUAUAGCUCCAUAAGCUCGUCAAGUUUCGGGAAUGAGCAGUAUUUCCCUCUGCAUUUCUAGCAGUAAGAACCAUGGGGGGACAUGCCACACAGUGGUGGGUAAGUGGAGGGAUGAAGUGAUGGGAAGAGAAAAAGAAGUGGAAGAGAAAGACUCUUGAGUCUGACCUCAAGGACUUGACAAUCCAGCAGAAGAAACAAGGCAUAAAUAUAUGAGAAACUAAAAAUAAAAGUCCCUAACACAGCCA
rnacentral:lncRNA from 1 species